rnacentral:rRNA from 1 species
CCUACGGGAGGCUGCAGUGGGGAAUAUUGGACAAUGGGGGGAACCCUGAUCCAGCCAUGCCGCGUGUGUGAAGAAGGCCCUCGGGUUGUAAAGCACUUUCAGUGAGGAAGAACGCCUGGUGGUUAAUACCCAUCAGGAAAGACAUCACUCACAGAAGAAGCACCGGCUAACUCCGUGCCAGCAGCCGCGGUAAUACGGAGGGUGCGAGCGUUAAUCGGAAUUACUGGGCGUAAAGCGCGCGUAGGUGGCUUGAUAAGCCGGUUGUGAAAGCCCCGGGCCCAACCUGGGAACGGCAUCCGGAACUGUCAAGCUAGAGUGCAGGAGAGGAAGGUAGAAUUCCCGGUGUAGCGGUGAAAUGCGUAGAGAUCGGGAGGAAUACCAGUGGCGAAGGCGGCCUUCUGGACUGACACUGACACUGAGGUGCGAAAGCGUGGGUAGCAAACAGGAUUAGAUACCCUAGUAGUC